GAUUAUGGCUCAGGAUGAACGCUAGCUACAGGCUUAACACAUGCAAGUCGAGGGGCAUCAUUGGGAUAGCUUGCUAUUCAGAUGGCGACCGGCGCACGGGUGAGUAACGCGUAUCCAACCUUCCCCUUAGUAGGGCAUAGCCCGGCGAAAGUCGGAUUAAUACCCUAUGUUGUAUAUUGAGGACAUCUGAUUUAUACCAAAGAUUCAUCGCUAAGGGAUGGGGAUGCGUCCGAUUAGGUAGUCGGCGGGGUAACGGCCCACCGAGCCAUCGAUCGGUAGGGGUUCUGAGAGGAAGGUCCCCCACACUGGUACUGAGACACGGACCAGACUCCUACGGGAGGCAGCAGUGAGGAAUAUUGGUCAAUGGGCGAGAGCCUGAACCAGCCAAGUAGCGUGCAGGAAGACGGCCCUAUGGGUUGUAAACUGCUUUUAUCAGGGGAUAAAGUGAGGGACGUGUCCCUUAUUGCAGGUACCUGAUGAAUAAGGACCGGCUAAUUCCGUGCCAGCCGCUGC
rnacentral:rRNA from 1 species